UUCCCCUAGUAACUGCGAGUGAAGCGGGAAAAGCUCAAAUUUAAAAUCUGGCGGUCUCUGGCCGUCCGAGUUGUAAUCUAGAGAAGUGAUGCCCGCGCUGGACCGUGUACAAGUCUCCUGGAAUGGAGCGUCAUAGAGGGUGAGAAUCCCGUCUCUGACACGGACUACCAGGGCUUUGUGGUAUCCUCUCAAAGAGUCGAGUUGUUUGGGAAUGCAGCUCUAAAUGGGUGGUAAAUUCCAUCUAAAGCUAAAUAUUGGCGAGAGACCGAUAGCGAACAAGUACCGUGAGGGAAAGAUGAAAAGAACUUUGGAAAGAGAGUUAAACAGUACGUGAAAUUGCUGAAAGGGAAACGCUUGAAGUCAGUCGCGUUGGCCAGGAAUCAGCCUCGCUCUUGCGUGGUGUACUUUCUGGUUGACGGGUCAGCAUCAAUUUUGACUGCUGGAAAAAGGCUUGGGGAAUGUGGCAGCUUCGGCUGUGUUAUAGCCCUUUGUCACAUACAGCGGUUGGGAUUGAGGAACUCAGCACGCCGCAAGGCCGGGUUUCGACCACGUUCGUGCUUAGGAUGCUGGCAUAAUGGCUUUAAGCGACCCGUCUUGAAACACGGACCAAGGAGUCUAACAUGCCUGCGAGUGUUUGGGUGGUAAACCCGAGCGCGUAAUGAAAGUGAAAGUUGAGAUCCCUGUCGUGGGGAGCAUCGACGCCCGGACUGGAGCUUUUGUGACGGAUCCGCGGUAGAGCAUGUAUGUUGGGACCCGAAAGAUGGUGAACUAUGCCUGAAUAGGGUGAAGCCAGAGGAAACUCUGGUGGAGGCUCGUAGCGAUUCUGACGUGCAAAUCGAUCGUCAAAUUUGGGUAUAGGGGCGAAAGACU
rnacentral:rRNA from 1 species